UUCACUCGAGCAGUUGUGUGGAGCUGAUAGACAUAAUUAGCUUUGUAGCAACUCACUUGGCAAUGGCUUGAGUGUAACGGACAUUCAUAAAUAUGAAAAAGU